rnacentral:ncRNA from 1 species
GUUUGGUCCUAGCCUUGAAGUCAAUUCUUAGUUAUUAUACACAUGCAAGUCUCCGCAUCCCUGUGAAAACGCCCUUAAACUCCCCCAUUAGGGGACAGGAGCUGGUAUCAGGCACUUUUUAUGCCCAAAACACCUAGCCUCGCCACACCCACAAGGGAUCUCAGCAGUGAUUAACAUUGAAUAUAAGCGACAGCUUGAUUCAGUUAAAUUAUCUAGAGCCGGCCAAUCUGGUGCCAGCCGCCGCGGUUAUACCAGAAGCUCAAAUUGACCUCUUUCGGCGUAAAGCGUGAUUAAAGUAAGUAAUUUUUUGGAGUUAAAUUAAAACUAAGCCGUGACACGCUUGUUAUUUGAGAAACCCAUAAACGAAAGCUACUCCAAUUCUCCCCACUUGAAUUCACGACAACUGAGAAACAAACUGGGAUUAGAUACCCCACUAUGCUCAGUAGUAAACUUUAAAUUACAUUUCACUCGCCCGGGAACUACGAGCUAAGCUUAAAACCCAAAGGACUUGACGGUACCCCACAUCCACCUAGAGGAGCCUGUCCUAUAAUCGAUAACCCCCGUUUAACCUCACCAUUUUUAGCCAAUUCAGCCUGUAUACCUCCGUCGUCAGCUUACCACGUGAGCGCAAGUGAGCUCAAUAUUUUUCUAAAACACGUCAGGUCAAGGUGCAACUUAUAAAAUGGGAAGAGAUGGGCUACACUUUCUAGCAUAGAACAAACGAAAGACCCAAUGAAAAUCAGUCAGAAGGCGGAUUUAGUAGUAAAUAGAAACCAGAGAGUUCAAUUUAAUGCGGCACUGGGGUGUGUACACACCGCCCGUCACCCUCCUCUAACGCUAAAAACAGUUCUUAACCCAUUUCAGCUUAAUAGAAGAGGUAAGUCGUAACAUGGUAAGUAUACCGGAAGGUGUGCUUGGAUA